rnacentral:rRNA from 1 species
UACGAAGGGGGCUAGCGUUGUUCGGAAUUACUGGGCGUAAAGCGCGUGUAGGCGGGUCUUUAAGUCAGGGGUGAAAUGCCAGGGCUCAACCUUGGAACUGCCUUUGAUACUGGAGACCUUGAGUCCGGGAGAGGUGAGUGGAAUUGCGAGUGUAGAGGUGAAAUUCGUAGAUAUUCGGAGGAACACCAGUGGCGAAGGCGGCUCACUGGCUCGAUACUGACGCUGAGGUGCGAAAGCGUGGGGAGCAAACAGG